rnacentral:rRNA from 1 species
CAGUCGCGUUGGCUAGAAAUCGACAUUGCUCUUGCUUUGUGUAUUUUCUGGUUGACGGGUCAGCAUCAAUUUUGACCAUUGGAUAAAGGCAUUGGGAAUGUGGCAUCUCAGGAUGUGUUAUAGCCUCUUGUUGUACACGGUGUCGGGGAUCGAGGACUGCAGCACGCCUUUGGUCGGGGUUCGCCCACGCCCACGUGCUUAGGAUGCUGGCAAAUGGACUUUAAACGACCCGUCUUGAAACACGGACCAAGGAGUCUAACAUAUGUGCG